rnacentral:rRNA from 1 species
AUUGAACGCUGGCGGCAUGCCUUACACAUGCAAGUCGAACGGCAGCACGGGAGCAAUCCUGGUGGCGAGUGGCGAACGGGUGAGUAAUAUAUCGGAACGUGCCCAGUCGUGGGGGAUAACGUAGCGAAAGCUACGCUAAUACCGCAUAUUCUGUGAGCAGGAAAGCAGGGGAUCGCAAGACCUUGCGCUGAUUGAGCGGCCGAUAUCAGAUUAGCUAGUUGGUGAGGUAAAGGCUCACCAAGGCGACGAUCUGUAGCGGGUCUGAGAGGAUGAUCCGCCACACUGGAACUGAGACACGGUCCAGACUCCUACGGGAGGCAGCAGUGGGGAAUUUUGGACAAUGGGCGCAAGCCUGAUCCAGCCAUGCCGCGUGAGUGAAGAAGGCCU